CCUACGGGAGGCAGCAGUGAGGAAUAUUGGUCAAUGGACGAGAGUCUGAACCAGCCAAGUAGCGUGAAGGAUGACUGCCCUAUGGGUUGUACACUUCUUUUAUAAAAGAAUAAAACGAGGCACGUGUGCCUUUUUGCAUUUACUUUAUGAAUAAGGAUCGGCUAACUCCGUGCCAGCAGCCGCGGUAAUACGGAGGAUCCGAGCGUUAUCCGGAUUUAUUGGGUUUAAAGUGAGCGUAGAUGGGUUGUUAAGUCAGUUGUGAAAGUUUGCGGCUCAACCGUAAAAUUGCAAUUGAUACUGGCAGUCUUGAGUACAGUUGAGGUAGGCGGAAUGCGUGGUGUAGCGGUGAAAUGCUUAGAUAUCACGAAGAACCCCGAUUGCGAAGGCAGCUUACUAAACUGUGACUGACAUUGAUGCUCGAAAGUGUGGGUAUCAAACAGGAUUAGAUACCCUAGUAGUC
rnacentral:rRNA from 1 species